rnacentral:rRNA from 1 species
AGUCGAACGGCAGCACGAGUAAGUUUACUUACUUGGUGGCGAGUGGCGGACGGGUGAGUAACGCGUAGGAAUAUGCCCUGAAGAGUGGGAUAGCUUGGGGAAACUCAGGGUAAUACCGCAUAUAAUCUUAGGAUGAAAGCUGGGGACCGCAAGGCCUGGCGCUUUAGGAGUAGCCUGCGUCUGAUUAGCUAGUUGGUGUGGUAAAGGCGCACCAAGGCGACGAUCGGUAGCUGGUCUGAGAGGAUGGACAGCCACACUGGGACUGAGACACGGCCCAGACUCCUACGGGAGGCAGCAGUGGGGGAUAUUGGACAAUGGGGGAAACCCUGAUCCAGCGAUGCCGCGUGUGUGAAGAAGGCCUGCGGGUUGUAAAGCACUUUCAGUGGGGAGGAGGGUAAGCGAGUUAAAAGCUAGAGUUACUGGACGUUACCCACAGAAGAAGCACCGGCAAACUCCGUGCCAGCAGCCGCGGUAAUACGGAGGGUGCGAGCGUUAAUCGGAAUUACUGGGCGUAAAGGGUGCGUAGGCGGUUUAGUAAGUUAUUUGUGAAAUACAUGGGCUUAACCUAUGUGCUGCAAAUAAUACUGUUAAGCUAGAGUAUGGUAGAGGGUAGUGGAAUUUCCGGUGUANCGNU